GAAAUAAAAAAAUUGGUUUUCUUUAUCAUUUUAGGAGAGGGCUCAUUAUUUGGGUAUUUUUAUAUACCUGACAUUCCCAUGGUCACAACAGAGCAGUUAUUAGGGGAGAAAAUGCCACAAAUGGAAAAAUAAAAUUUGUCAGUAUAUGGAAUCAUGUUGCUUGCCAUGAACAUCUCAAGAGAAAAUGAAAAGAAUGGCAUGAUCAGAAGUUGAGCAGUGUACAUCCUGCACAGCCAAAUGCAACAGGUCUUUUCCAGAGUCUGCUGCCACUCGGGGUCCCCAAUCCCUGGGAUGCAAACCAGGGGCCAUAAGCCAGGUCCAUGGUGUGUUAGGAACCAGGCUACGCAGCAGAAGGAUCCGUCCUUCUGCACAACCCAUGCUGUCAACCAGGAGCUAUUCUGUCCCCACCGACUCAACGAGGCAGCAACCAGUUCUGUACAUGAAGAUUCCAAGGGAUCCCAAAUGGCACGUGUUAGAACAGACACUAUCCAAGAAGGAAAGGACAUAUCUGUCAACCAUGCUACAAGUGUCAUGCCACCAUGGAAGUUGAUUGCUAGAUACUGAGCUGGCAUACACCACACACACACACACACACACACACACACACACACACACACGCUGAAGCAUCCUCAGAAUUCCUGCAACUCCAAGGUUCAAACGUCCAAGAAGAAUACUGUGGGAGACAGAGUCACUCUGUAGCCCAUGCUGAAGUGCAGGGUUGCCAUCACAGCUCACUGCAGCCUCAAACUCCUGGGCUCAAGUGAUCCUCCCUCCUUGGCCUCCAAAGCACUGGGAUUACAGGAGUAAGCCACCACACCCAGCCUGUUAUUGUAUUUUAUGAAAAUGCUCACCUAUGGUGGAUUGAAAAUGCACUUAAACAUCUAUUUUUAAGUCAAGAUGUCCUCUCUCUGUCUCUUAACUUUCCAUGACUUGACUAGCAGGCACAUUCAAGGUACUUCAUGCAUCAUGAAGCAGAUGGAACAGGCGGCUCUCCAUUCUAGAGAUCCCUGGCUGUAAGGGUCUGUCCCUUUGCUAGUGUGGGAGGUCAGCCUGCCUUGCAGAAUGAACCAUACGGAUUCAAAGACUAAUCCCAAAUAUGCCAGGAUUGUCACUUUCAUUUCAUUAGACUUUCUAAGCCCAAUGUAAGUGUUGUUUAUGCUGAAUGGUUGUGUUCCCUACACCUGGUAGAAAAGAAGCCAAGUUCAUGAAAAGGCAGGACAGCAGGUGGUUUGUAUGAUCGUGUGUUUAGAUAAAGCCACCUGCUUGUAAAGAGGCACCUUGGAUCUUUUGGGCUUUUCCUCUCCAGUGUUCCAGGAGGAGUGCAAUUUUUUAAAAGUCCACAUGUGAAGACUUUGCCUUUUGAAUAAGACCUCCAAGAGUAACCAAGAUUUUGCAAGGUUUGUCUCAGCCCUUAAGGGCAAACAUGACCAAACAUUUGCUUGAACUGAUGCUCCAGUUGUCUGUUGCUGGGUACCAAACCUCCACAAAACUUGGUGGCUUAAGCCCACAGCAAGUUUGUUUGGUUCCUGAAGAUGCCAUUUGCACAAGGCUCUGUAGGAAGAGUGCAUCUCUGCUCUACUAGGCAUCAGCUGGGCAGCCCAAAGACUGGAAUGGAGUCAUCAGAAAGCCCCUCACUCAUGGCUGGUGCCGGCCCUGGGGAGAUGCUAACAGCUGGGGCUGGACAAGCAGGGGGUCCUCCCUGACCCCAGCAUCUCUCUCUGUCCUUAUGUGGUCUCUCCACAUGGUCUCUCCAGCCCAGCAGCUUCAGGGCAGUUGGACUUCCCAUGUGUGCCAGGCUCCCAAGGCACUUGACCCAAAGAGAGAACCAUGAGGAAACCCUACCACCUUCCAUGACAUAGCCCCAAGGUCACACAUUCUAUUCACCAAGGUAGUCAACAAAGCCAUACCCUUGCAACAAAGUGCAAGGGGAGGGAAACAGACACUACCUCUUGGUGCAGAUGAGGCAAGGUUCUGGAAGAGCAUGUGGAACAAAAAUACUGAUGCAACUGCCUUUGAAAAAUACAGUCGAUCACCACAGAUACACAGCUACAGAAGAAAAACGUGCAAAGAGUUCACUGACAGUGUCGAGCAAGGCUAGGUGUGAAGGUGCUCGAGGGGCAGUCAGCUCUGCUUCUCCAGCUUUGAUGCCUGCGGUGGCCCAGAUGUAGCUGAGAAUCCCCCAACCCACUGUGGUCAUGGCAGGCACUUGAAGCCACCUCUUCAAAGAAGAAUGAAUUGAUGGGACCCUUUGCUCUUUCCCACACAUUCCACAUGCAUGUCUGGAGUCAGAGUCAUUGCCUGUGGCUCUGACACCAAGCCCAGCUAAAUGAGUGGUCUGCCCUGAUCUGGCGGGGCCAUCCAAAUCAAGAGCCCCUGCCUCCAUGCAGCCCUCCUUGAUCCUUCUCCUCUGGCAGGAUGCAACAUUCCAUCUUUUGUGCCACAGCUGGACCCUCCCAUAAGCUCUCUACCCGAGUGUGUUAGCAUGUCAGUGCCCUGAGUCAUUGGCUUGUGUUCCCCGAAUAGCCCAUAAGUCUCUCAAGGCCUGAGGCCACAUCAGCUGUUUGUCAUAUGCCUCACUGUGCCUGGCACAGUGACUAGCACACACAGGCCAAGGACUUUUGACUGCUGUAUAACAAGAAAAGAACAGGCAAAAUCCCAGAGAUUUCAAGCUGUUUGUUUUGUUUUCAUAAAGAGAAGUUGAA
rnacentral:lncRNA from 1 species